CAAUAGCGUAUAUUUAAGUUGUUGCAGUUAAAAAGCUCGUAGUUGGAUUUCGGGUGGGACGCAGCGGUCUCGCAUUGCGUUUGUACUGCUGCAGCCCUCCUUCUUGCCGGGGGCGGCCUCUCGGACUUCACUGUCUGGGGGUCAGAAUCGGCGAUGUUACUUUGAGUAAAUUAGAGUGUUCAAAGCAAGCUUACGCUCUGAAUAUAAUAGCAUGGGAUAACACGACAGGACUCUGGCCUAUCGUGUUGGUCUAUAGGACCAGAGUAAUGAUUAAGAGGGACAGUCGGGGGCAUUCGUAUUCCGUUGUCAGAGGUGAAAUUCUUGGAUUUAUGAAAGACGAACUUCUGCGAAAGCAUUUGUCAAGGAUGUUUNCAUUA
rnacentral:rRNA from 1 species